rnacentral:rRNA from 1 species
GGUUAAGCGACUAAGCGUACACGGUGGAUGCCCUGGCAGUCAGAGGCGAUGAAGGACGUGCUAAUCUGCGAUAAGCGUCGGUAAGGUGAUAUGAACCGUUAUAACCGGCGAUUUCCGAAUGGGGAAACCCAGUGUGAUUCGUCACACUAUCAUUAACUGAAUCCAUAGGUUAAUGAGGCGAACCGGGGGAACUGAAACAUCUAAGUACCCCGAGGAAAAGAAAUCAACCGAGAUUCCCCCAGUAGCGGCGAGCGAACGGGGAGCAGCCCAGAGCCUGAAUCAGUGUGUGUGUUAGUGGAAGCGUCUGGAAAGGCGCGCGAUACAGGGUGACAGCCCCGUACACAAAAAUGCACAUACUGUGAGCUCGAUGAGUAGGGCGGGACACGUGGUAUCCUGUCUGAAUAUGGGGGGACCAUCCUCCAAGGCUAAAUACUCCUGACUGACCGAUAGUGAACCAGUACCGUGAGGGAAAGGCGAAAAGAACCCCGGCGAGGGGAGUGAAAAAGAACCUGAAACCGUGUACGUACAAGCAGUGGGAGCACGCUUAGGCGUGUGACUGCGUACCUUUUGUAUAAUGGGUCAGCGACUUAUAUUCUGUAGCAAGGUUAACCGAAUAGGGGAGCCGAAGGGAAACCGAGUCUUAACUGGGCGUUAAGUUGCAGGGUAUAGACCCGAAACCCGGUGAUCUAGCCAUGGGCAGGUUGAAGGUUGGGUAACACUAACUGGAGGACCGAACCGACUAAUGUUGAAAAAUUAGCGGAUGACUUGUGGCUGGGGGUGAAAGGCCAAUCAAACCGGGAGAUAGCUGGUUCUCCCCGAAAGCUAUUUAGGUAGCGCCUCGUGAAUUCAUCUCCGGGGGUAGAGCACUGUUUCGGCAAGGGGGUCAUCCCGACUUACCAACCCGAUGCAAACUGCGAAUACCGGAGAAUGUUAUCACGGGAGACACACGGCGGGUGCUAACGUCCGUCGUGAAGAGGGAAACAACCCAGACCGCCAGCUAAGGUCCCAAAGUCAUGGUUAAGUGGGAAACGAUGUGGGAAGGCCCAGACAGCCAGGAUGUUGGCUUAGAAGCAGCCAUCAUUUAAAGAAAGCGUAAUAGCUCACUGGUCGAGUCGGCCUGCGCGGAAGAUGUAACGGGGCUAAACCAUGCACCGAAGCUGCGGCAGCGACGCUUAUGCGUUGUUGGGUAGGGGAGCGUUCUGUAAGCCUGUGAAGGUGUGCUGUGAGGCAUGCUGGAGGUAUCAGAAGUGCGAAUGCUGACAUAAGUAACGAUAAAGCGGGUGAAAAGCCCGCUCGCCGGAAGACCAAGGGUUCCUGUCCAACGUUAAUCGGGGCAGGGUGAGUCGACCCCUAAGGCGAGGCCGAAAGGCGUAGUCGAUGGGAAACAGGUUAAUAUUCCU